UGUGGGUGUGGGUGUGUGGAUGUGUAUACAUGCAUGUAUGUGGGUGUGGGUGUGUGUAUGUGUGGGUGUGCACUAGCAGGGGAUAUGCCGAGCAGGGAAACGUGACAAGGACCUGGCAGCAGUCCCAAGGGGUGAUGGUGGUGGCCUGGAUUCUGGUGGGCUGGGGGUGAGGAGCGGAUGGAUUCCAAGUUCGGGGGGCUUGGGCAGGACUGGGUGGUGGUUUGGAUGUGAGUUCAGAGGGGCUUGGGCAGGGCUGGAUGGUGGUUUGGAUGUGGCGGGGGCGGUGGGAGGAGGCAGCAAGUGUCUGCUGUGGGAACCCGGGUGGUUGAUGGGGGCUCAUUCUCUGAGGUGGGAGGGAGGAGCAGAUGGGGAAGGCAGUGAGUUCAGCCCUGUACCCGACAUGUGGGGCAGAGCUCCUGCUUUCUGGGUGUUCUGUGGCCUUCUCUGAGUGACACCCACACAUACACAUACACACCCACUUCCCCCAGUGCACCUGGGCCAUUCCCCUGCUUAGCAGCUGUUGGGAAGAAUCAGAAAGGGUCUGGAGGGCAGUGGCUGCAUCCUGCUUCGGCCAGAGCUCCACCUUGACCAGUAAGUCCUGAGCCCGGCCAUUUCCAGGCUGUCCCCAGGCCUAGUGGGAGGAGGAAGACAUGGACACCAUUCUAUUAGAGGCCUGGCUGUGGCCAAGCUCUCUGAGGGACAGAAGCCUCUAGCACUGGACAUGGUGGCCCAAGCCCCUCCCCCGCCCCCGGCGGACAGAUGAGUGCCUCAGAAUCCAGGCCUCAGGUCCCAGCACUCUCUUCUAGCAUUGGAGGCAGCCUCAUCCUAAAGCCUGCAGUCCCUCCUCACCUCAGCCUUGGGCCUGUCUGGCUGGAUCGCAGAGUGCUGGCGGCGUCCUCGUGGUGGAAGGCCCAUGGAACCCCAAGAGGAGCUCUCUCUGCCCCUGCUUUUCAGCCUCUCUAAGUGUCCCUCCUCCAUGCCCACUGCACAGCAGCCCCCGUCUGAUUUGCUGGGUCAUCCCUGUCCCCUUGGAGCCUGUUUCCUCACCUGUCCAUGGCAGAGCCAUAGUGGGGGAAGUCCCGAUGCUGAGGAAGGGGCACAUUCCUCAGAACGGGGACAUCUCUUGUCCUCCUGUCGGGGUCCCUGCCUGCAGUGUGAGGGGCUGCCUAUGAGAAGGCUCUGUGAGCCCCUCCUCUGGAGCCUUCCCUGGCAGGCUGCCAGCAGCUCUCCCAGGCUGAAUGAGUUAUUUUGAAGUGAAUGUGGGGGGUGAAUUAAUGAGCAGUUGGCUCUGGAGCUGUGAUCGGUGCCAGCCCCCAGCUCCCACCCUAGUGCCCAUUGGCUCUGGAACUGCCACUGAGCAUGAGCCUCCCUCCCCAGGGCUGAGCAGCAAGAGGCAGGCCAGGGGCUGCCCUGGGCCGGCACCUGCUUCAUGCCAGGGGAGGCCCGCUGUCCUGUCUCACCCAUCUCCCGUCCUCAGGCCUCCGGGGAAGGAAGGGGCGUGUGGUGUGGUCUUUCUCACCAGGUCAAGCUGAGUUCCUAGCAGGCCAGCCUGGAGAGUCCCCAGCAGGGCUUCGAGGCCCCUCCGAGGCCGCCCCAGCUCUCUGCUCUGGGCACAGUGCAUUGGUUGUCCAACAUUCCUAUGAAUCUUUAGCAGCAACAAAAGUUCGGAGCCCUUGCCUGCCGCAGCCGGCCGCAUUCCAAGAGGAACAUGCAGCUGGGGUUCCUGUUCCCAUUUGGCACACGAGGAGCAGGCACGGCCAGUCACACAGCCAGGGGGGCGAGGGAGUCCAGAAACCCAUUUCCUGUGCGUACCUGUCUACCCUGAAGAUCCCUCAAGCCACAAAUGCUCCCUCCUCCCUCCCUCCUCCUCCCUCCCUCUCCCCCCGUCCUCCUCCUCUCAUUCCUUCCUCUGCGGCCCUCAUGCGUGCUCUGUCCCUCUUCUGGUGACCCCAAAUCCUUUCCACUCUCUUCCCAGGGUUUCCUCCCCAUUGGGCCAUGACUGCCACAAGAGCAGUGGCACAACAGACCCAUCUCAGUCACCCUAGUAUCCAGCACGGGGCUGGUCACAGCAGCAUCCACAACUGUCCACUGUCCACUGAGUGACCAAGAAUCAAUGUGUGCAGCCCAGUGCGACCCGGAGCUCCCUUCCAAGCAAUCUGUUCCUCCGGCUUGCAUGCCUCUGGCUGUGGGAAGCUCACUCCCUUAUGAAGAAUCCGUUUCCACCUUUAGAUGGUUCUGUCCAUCUGCAAGGCUGGCCUUAUGGUGAGCCAGAAGCUGCCCCUCUGGAGCUGCCCCCAUGAGCCACACAGAACAGAUGUGCUGUCUUUCCCCGCUUCAUCCUUUCCUCAAAACCCCACUGCUUUGUGCUCCAGGCUGAGCGGUGGAGAUCUGGCUCCUGCCCACUAGCCUGGGCCACCACAUCCCGGCCCCUGGCUUCUUUGCUGUUUCUCGUGCACAUCGUGCCUGAUUCCCUACCCAGCACCUGUGCAGCCCCAGUCUUGGUAGGCCCCUUCUCCUCCAUCAAAUCUCCGCCCACCCAGCACCUGUGCACCCCCAGUCUUGGUAGGCCCCUUCUCCUCCAUCAAAUCUCCGCCCAAACAUCUCCUGUCCAGUGGAAGUCAGCCCUUCCCUUAUUCCGUUGCGUCCUCCUGUUUAUUUCCUUCACUUGCCAGCUCAUCUCAGCUUAGCUCAUCUUAAUUCCUUAAUUUGCAGUCUUCAUUUCCAGCCGCCAUGAGAACAGAAGGUCUCUGGAGUGGGGACUUCAUCUUUACCCCUGGAGCCUUCCACAGGGCCUGGUACACAGGCAUUCAUAACUGUGUGCCCAGUGACAUCGUCCCCGUCCCCAUCACCAUUCUCUUCAUAGAGGCAGAAGAGCCAUGAAGUGGCUAAAAACCAGGCCUCUGGGCCAUACUGUUGGGCUCUGGGGCUGAAUCUGGGACUUAACCAGUGUUUCUAAGCAGCCUUGGAGAUAGAAGCAGGCAGGGCUGAGAACGCUGAUUCCCCAUGGCUCAAGCAGGCAUCUUGAUUUUGCCUAGAAUUUAGGCUUUUUCUCUCAAAUCUUUCUCAUUCCCCCAUAAACACAGAAUCCCUUCAGCAUCUGCAGGGGAAAGGAAAUUCACAUGUAAUGAACAUCUCCUGUGUGCCUGGUGAGUUUGUUUGCUCUUCCUAACAACCCCAUGAUUGGAGCCCCCGCAUUACACAUGAGGAGGCUGAGGCUCCUCAGAGAGGCUGAUGCACUUGUUCAAGGACACCCAGCUGGGAGAGAUGAACCUGGGACUGGACCUCAGUGCUGUGCGGACCCAGGAUCUUGGGGUUUGGAAUUGGAGGAGUUCUGUGGAAGUUGGAGCCAGCAUGUUCUGUAGAGCCAGAAACAGGCUUUGGCUGUCCCUGAAGCCUGAUCCAAAGGUAGCGAGUUCCUCCACUGGAGGAUACCAACAACAUGCCAAGUAAGCUACCACAAAGCCUGUGCAGUUUACACGUGUUGGCUCCGUUCCCACUUUAGGAGGAAGGAAUCAUUCUUGGCCCCAUUUACCCUGAAGAAAUGAAGACUCAGAAGUCAGAGGAAGGCUGUGGGACAGAGUGGAAUGAAUAUGCAGUGAAAGUAGUCAUUACAGCAAUUCCAAUGCGUGCGUCACUGCUUACGUGGGCCACCACAGUGGUGUAGCCAACCUUGGGCUCAGGGUGCUGCAAACAUCACUCCACUUAAUGUUUACAGCAACCCAAGGAAAGUCGGUGCCAUUAUUGUCGCCAUUCUCCAGAUGUAGAAAUGGGUUCAGAAAGGUUAAGUAAUUUGCCCAAGGUCACACAGCUCGUCAGUGGCACAAAAAUGACAGUCACACGACUGACUUCAAGCCCCAUGAGAAGUCUCCAGCCGGUGGGGCUGCUGCUUCUGAGAUGAAGCAACCACGAGCCUCUGUCCAGGUCGGGAGCCCCAGUCCUCUUUCUAGGGCCACUUGUGACACCCCCACCCUUGUGGGCCUCAGCAGAAGGGAGAAUGUCCCUGAGGAUGUCCUCUGGCUAUUUCAACGACAAAUUGUAGAGGGCUCGGCUCUCGGUUUGAGGGGCCGUCUUUCCUGUGACCGUCUCUGACUCUCACAGGUGCAAAGAAUCACCCUUUCAAGAGGGUCUUUGGAUCUAGAAACUUCCAUACUCCUCUCCCAUCUGAUCAGCCAUACCACUCUGAAAAAGCAAUCCGAAGGAAAUAUUUUAAAAUUUGAGAACAGCUUUUGGCAUAAAGGUAUGCAUCACAGCUUUGUGCAGAAUAGCAGGAAACAAUUGUAAGAUCGUGAGCCAUGGGAUCAGCCUCUUGGAGGAGAAAGAGCUUAGAAUGAAAGAGAAAUGCUCACGAAAUCUUACAUGUACCGAGCAGAAGACGACAGAGCACCUUCUAAGCACAGGGGGAAGCAAGGAACAAAAGGGUGAGACAGAGCUUGGGGUGAGACAGACCUGGGGGUUUUUCUUUUCUAUGUUUUUUCCUUAUUGUCAUAUUUACCAAGUUUAUUUAAACAAGCAUUACUUUUAUAGUGGGUUGGGGGAGAGAGAGAGAGAGAGACCUUUAUUUUAUGCAACUAAAACCAAAACUGCUUCUGGAUGCAGACAAGAACCAAGUGUACCACCUGGCCAGGGUGCAGGCUCUCCCACCGCCAGAUCCUGUGAGGCUGACAGAUGCUGAAUUUCCUCAUGCUGCCCUUCUCUGAGGAACACUGGACAUCUCCGUUAAAAACGUUAUAUCUGGGUUGCCAGAAAUUCUUUCCAAAGCACUUGCAGUCUUACCUCAGGCUUGGCCGUGGGGUGUCUUGGCAGUUCUUUUGCCUGAAACUCUUGCACGUAUUUUCCAAAGCACAGAAUCGUUUUCAGUGGAAGUACCUUUCCCCUAUAGGAUCUUCAGUGCAAGGGCUGGGGAAAGGUGGCCAGUGAGUGUGGCGUUUCAGCUGGCUGAUGUCCAUCUUCACAUGAAGGGAGUUCAUCUGAUCCAGUGGGCUUGACCAGGAAAUUUAAUUAUUAUUUGGGUAUACCAGGGCUGAGGGCCCUUUCCAAGCCAGGCCAAACCUGCAACGUCCCCUGUGGCCAGGGGAGCCCCGAAGGUCCAGAGACCAAAGAAGGAGCCCAGAGCAGGCCAGGGUAGCCCCUGGUCCUGGGUCUCUUGUGCCCCCAGAUGCUGUUUCUCCCCAGCUGGAGCUGGUCUGCUGAGGGCCUUCAGGAAGCCUCCGGGGUGCCCAACACAUCAAGAAAGCAUCUCACGCUGGGCGCCUGCGUCUCCAGUCCUCGUGGGACUGUACCUGUGAGAAGGUGGAGGACCCUUCGGCACAGCCGCUGCCUGCCCCAGGGGUGGGGGCUGAUCUUGAGGGUGUGUCUUUGGAAUGGAGCAAGUAGAGCUGGACACCAAUACCAACCUCAUGGGGUUAGUUGGAAGCCGAAGAGCUUUCCUCAUGACAGGGAAAGAGAAGUCAUUGACAACAGGAGAUACUCAGCCGGCGUCAAUGCAGGACAGAUGCUCCCAGGCCACACCAGCGGGAGGCGCCCCCUGCUGGGGUCUGGAGGGCAGGACCAGCAUGGCUCCUCCCCUGAAACCUCUGCCCCUGACAUUGCCUGGCACAAGGCAGGAGCUUGAUAAGUGUUGCGGUCAAAUGAAGCAAAUUUGGCAAGUGGCCAGCCCCAUUCCUGGUGUUCUCCUUGCCUUCCUGGCCCUGGAGCCCCCUCCUGCUCUGAAGCCUCCGCUCUGCCAUAAGCCAGGUCCCUGCCCUGCCCUGUGUGGCUCAGGAGGACGUGGACAUCCCUGAGCUGGUCCAGAUGCCUGCACCCCUGCUUUGCUCCUUGGGGAGGACUUUGCCUGUUUCUCAUGGACGCUUACUCCGUGCCAGAGGCCGGGCCUCACCUGCACGAUCCCGUUCAUGCCUCACAACCCCACAGGGCAAGUGCUAUGAGGAUCUUCACUCUAUAGAGGUGGAGCUGAAGCUUUGGAGGAAAGGACUUGCUGCUGUGGGCUGAAUUAUGCCCCCGCUGCCCCCACAUUCAUAUAUGGAAGCUCUAACCCUCUAUGUGACUGUAUGUGGGGACAGGGUCUUUAGGAGGUAAUGAAGGUAAAAUGAUGUCAUAAUCCCAUAGGACCACAGCCUUAUAAGAAGAGGAAGAGGGACCGGAACUCUCUCUCCAUGUGAGUGUACAGGGCAGGCCAGGAGGAGGGCCCACUCCAGAAAUGGCCCCGUGCCAGGCUGCCCAGCCACCACCGCUGGGAGAAAUGAGUUUCAGUUGCGAGCUGCCCAGUCUGCAAUACUGUGUCAUGGCUGGGACUGACCACCACUCGCCCAAAGUCACACAGAGAGGAGCAACCAGGAUUCAAGCUCCAGUCUGUUCUUGCAGACUCAAGCCUGUUCAUGACCCCACAGUGGGUCUCCCGUGCUAGGGCUGUGCCUCAGUAGCCAGGUCUGUGGAGCGGGUGGCUUUUUUCUGCCCUGCUCCAGGGGCCAUGAAGCCUGGGUAACCUCUGACACACCUCCGGCCCUGCUGGCCGUGGGGCCAUUUCUGCUGCAGCAGCGCCCCCUGCUGGCCCAGACCACGUCUGCCUCGUGCCUGGCCCCUGGAGUUCGUUCCCCUCCCUCCAGAUCUGGCCCUCCAAGCCCUGCUCCUUCCAUGCCAUCCCUCAGGUUCUGCAGGGCACUGGCCACUUCUGCACAGCCAGGCCUUCCCACCCUACCCCCGAGAUUCACAGAGCGGGGUUCACUCCCUCCCAGGCUUGGCUUCCCCAGGCUGAGGGCCGGGCAGUGGCACCCUUCCACAGACCACAUGAGUUAGCUCCCUCCCCACCCAACAAGGCCAGCGCUGGCUCUGUCUCAGGCCCCUUUGUUCAGGUCUCUUCUGAAUAAAGGCACCAGAGGGUCCAGCUCUGGCCAUAAUGCCCCAGAUGAAGCUUGACAGGAGGGGAACUGGACACAACAGGCCAGGUGGGGAUGGGCAGCCUCUGGGCCAGGAUGCUGCCUUGGGCCUGAGUGGGCAGGGAAGAGGCGAAGACAUGCUAUCGUGGAUCCUCGGCUGGCUACAAGGCUCUCAGAUGCCAACCCACCUUCCUUCUGUCCCUUUGCACUCCCUGGGCCCCCUGCAGCCCAGGGUCCCUCACUGCCUCCUGCACCGGCUGCUCACUGAACCCCUUCCACCUCUUGGAGAGGGCGAGCUGGGAUUCUGGAGCCAGAAACUCCUGAGUCCCUUUCUACACAAACUCACUUUGUGACCGUCUUCUCUCUGGGCCUUCGUUUCCUCAACUGUGCAGUGGGGGCAGUGCACCCCUCUUGGGUGUGAAGGGCCCAGCAGAGAGCUCAGUGCAAAGCUGGCAUCAGUGCAUGUUUGCGCGAUGGACAGAAGAGUUGGGGGGGUCAGUGGCCUUGACUACAGGGACAGGGACCCUGCUCGCCUCCAGGCUGUCUUCCUUGCCUUUCUUUCCGUGAAGGGAGUGGUUCCCUCUGAGUGCCUAUGCUAAUGAGCUCCCUGCAGCCCCAUCUGCAUAAGGAGCUUCUGACUCUGUUUCUCUGGGUCAAGCUCAGGCCAUGGAGUCAUCUUAAGGGCAGCUUCAGGUGGGAAAAGUAGGUAGGGGUGUGGGGAGGCAGAUCCAGUUCCAGUCUUGAUUUCACCAAGUUCUUAUCGUAGAAACUCCUGGAAAACUGUUUUCCAUUGUCUGAGCCUCAGUUUCAUCUUCUGCAAAAUGGAGCAAUGACACCCAUCCUGUUAAAGGAGCUCCAUGAGGAGGUGCAGCUCAGAGUAGGUACCUCGUGCCCACAACCCCCAGUCUGGGUUGCAUCUACGCUCUCCCCCUCACCUCUCAGUUCCUUAGCUCCUCUGAGCUGCAGUAGCUCAAAAGCAGCUCAAACUCAGCUUAUCUCACCCUCAGCUCCUUACCCCACCCCAGUAGCUGCCCACCCUCCACUCACUGCACAGACCAGAAACCCAGGUGGGGUUUCCUUGAUUCCUUUCUCUCCCUCAACUCCUUCCCUAGUCCCCAGACCCACAGCCCCAGAAGAUUCCAUCCUCACACACUCCUGCUGCCUCCUUCCUUGACCGCCCACUGGACUGGUGCAGGAGCCUGCUGGCGGUUCCAACAUUCAUCUAGCUCCUUUCCUACCCUUUCCCCGCACUGCAGCUGAUGACUUUACCAGGCUCACAUGCGGUUCCUUGCUGAAAAUCCUGCAGGGGCUUCUCAGUGCUUCUAGGAGGAAGAACACUUCUCUCUGCUGGAGGUCCUGCAUUAUCUGAGCCCUGUGGCGACCCUGUUAGAUUUCAGGGCGCCUUCCCCUCACUCAGAGCUCCAGCUAUCCUGGACUUCCUUUGCUGGCCUUUCCCUCUGUCUGGAAUGUUCUUUCCCAUCCCACCUCAUUGCCUGGUUGCCACCUAUUCACUCUCCAAAUCUCAGCCCAGGCACAGCAUCUCUAGAGAGGCUUGUCCUGAGCCCCGGCACGGUUGAAUGCCUCUGCUGCAAGCUCCUGGCAGUCUGGGGCCUCUUCUUUGGGCCCUUUCUUGGUUAUUAUUGAACAAACCGUUGGGUGACCCCAUGGCAGAGUCUUCUCUGCCCCAUAGACAACAAGCUCCCUGAGAACAGGGUUACUUCUGUGCCUGCUCCAAUCCCUGCAGAGAAUUUGGGAUGAAACAGAUGCUUGAUAAAUAUGGUUAUAUCCUCCUUGAACCCUUGGGGGCCUUCAUUCUAUGUCCUGAGUUUUGCACAAGAUGUUCAGGCUGAUUGUUGGUUGGAGAGCUCACGGUGUGGCGGAAAGAAUCUUAGUCUGGGAUUCAGGAGUCUUGAGUUCUAGCCUUGGUUCUGCUGUGUGACUCUGGGCAAAUCACUGCCCCUCUCUGAGUCUGUAUUCUCACCAUAACAUAAAGGGGCUGUACUGUGCAA